rnacentral:misc_RNA from 1 species
CACACAUGCAUGAAAGCUUUUAUGUUGUCAUACAAGUAAUUCAAACAUGGGAAGUAAGAUAAUUAACUGGAAAAAUAACUUGGAAAAUAUUGUUUUUUGACAAAAAGGGCACCAUAUGCUAGUUCUGUCACUGAAUUAAUCAAUGUUUUUAAGUGCAAAAUCUAAGGUUUAAUUGUUACAUUUACAAGUGCUCAACAAGUAUCAAAGAUCCGAAGUAUCAAAAUGUUAGAGCAUCUUCAUUAUCACUUAAAAAAAAAAAAAAAUGAAGGCUGUAAUCUCACCAGAUUAUUUCUUUGUAGCAUCAAUGAACAUGGCUCGAGUCCAAUGUUCAAUGUCUUCAGUUUGUGAUGGCGGAGGGGGGAAAGUGGGAUGUUCUACCAGAUCCCAUCCAUCAAUCAGGCCUUCAUUCUUUCCAGUGUCAGAUAUCUCAGUGGCAUAAAGGAAACUGGUGGCUGAAUUUGGAAGGUUAUGAUCAAUUAUGUUUUUCGUUAAAUGUAGUGCAUGUGCACUCUCAAGCAAAGUGCUUGAUGAAAUGGUAGAAUUCACAUUCCAUACAGAUUUAUUCAAUUUUUGAACUUGCUUACAUGACCUGAAACUCAAAAGAAAAGGCAUCAGGGAUAGUAGAGAAACAGAAUAGUAUAAUAAUUUUAUCAUGAAGAUAUUGCAGAACAAGGAAAUCAGUCCUAUGUUUAAACUUUCAAAUUGAGGUCAAAAGUGAUGCAAGCUACAAAUCAUCAAUACAAACUCCUAAAGUUACAAGACUAGAGAUGAUAUAAGAUCCUGGUAUGAUAUAAGUAUCAUCAUAAAUUCUUCUAUUUCAAUAAUCAGUCUGGAGGUAAUCCAGCACCUAUGCUUCCAAACAGAUAUUUUCUAAUGCUAAAAGAAUAUAUAUACUAGUGAUAUUUUCUAAUGCUAAAAGAAGAUCUAUACUAGGGAUAUAAAAUACACAUACUACUGAUAUUUUUCCAGAAAAGCUGAUAAUUCCACCUAGUUUAGCCCAACUUUGAAAUCUGCAUGUGAUCCCACACUAAAGCCUUUCCAUCAAUCAAUGAUAACGGAUUGAUGACAUGUUACCAUACCAUCAGAAUUUCCAGUUUUCCAUUGUUAUGGAAGUUAUUGUCAUUUUAGCCAGGACUGUCUCAUUGGACAGUUGUGAUGCCAAUGAAUAGGAACUUGUUAAUACCAAGCAUCACACAAAUUCCACAUGUAAUUAAAUAGUGUUAUAAGGAGUUAGCUAAAAAGAGUCUUGAGGCAAUAAUACUUGGGUCUUUGUAUCAAGCAAGUGUAUGCAAUUGCAUUCAGGAUUCGUUUUAUCCAAAUCUCAAAAGAUAUUACACAAGGGACAAUUGAAUUUUUGGAAUGAUUAAAUUCUUUCUCGUCUAUUUGAAAAUCUAGCAUGCCAAAAUAAUAUAGCAUCAUAGAUGAUAGUUAUUCAAUACAAUGGAACUACUAACACAAGAAAUGAACAUCUAAAUAAAUGCUCUAGUCUGUGAGAAUAUGUUACUCUACUUCAUAGUGGGACUUUGCUAUCAAACUCAGCUCAGUGAAUGUCAGCGUACCAGAGGCACAUUCAAAGUCUAACCAAUACAUUUAAUCUCCGAUGUGGUUCUCUUGUACAUCAUAACAUAUAUUGUAGUGAAGCCUUAGUCAUUAUCUUAACUAUCAUUGCAGCAAGCCAACUGGCUCAUUCAUCAAUCUGAUUGUGAAUUAUAAACUGCCUAAGAUGGAUGUCACAUAGAACAAUUAUAGUCAUUAACUAUUUAGGCUGUGAGGAAUAAGCUUAGAGAACCCCAAGUAACUUCCUUUUUACAAAAAAAUCAAUUAAAGAAAACAGGGUUAUUGUCUGAAAAGUUUCAAAAUUCUUUCCUUCCUCUAGUUUGGGUCAUAGAGUCAUGCCCAGAAACUAUACAAGUGACUGAUUAUUAUAUUUUAACUUCACACAUAGAACUGAAUUAAUGAUGCACAGAAGAGGUACCUUGAACAAGCCAUCUUUAAGGAAAAAACAGAUCGAACUUCCUUGGAAGAUGAAAGUGUAGCCAACAAUUUUGCAAAUGCUUCAAAAGUAGACACUUCAGAAGGCACAUCUAAACAUAGCAAGUUAUAACCAUAAGCUGUUACACAUGCUACACUUUUCUUCAGGAGUGAAAUGCCUUUCUGCAAGUCCUUGUGUGUUUCAACAGAAUGUGGAGAUGCAGAAGAAUAAUUGAAGCUGCUACUUCGAGAAGAAUCAAGGCGGGCCCUUCUCUCUGAUUCCAUUGAGGCAACACCAAAAUUACUUGAACUUCUAUCAGUCCACGAAUUUUCACUGCUAGUAGAGCAAUAAUUUUGGCGUGGUAUAAAAAGUGGAUAUUCAUAGCUACGAGAAGAAGGACAGGCAUUCCAAUAAGAAUCUCGUUGCCAUAUUCGAGAGCAAGAACCCGCAAAGCCUGAGUUAUGAAGUGCAGGAACAGCCAAGUUAUGAACAACAAGAUUCAGAAGUUGUACCAUGUAUCCCAGGGAAGCAGCCAGCUCUUCUGAUGGAACAGAGUGAGGAUCAAGUCCUCUUGGUAAGCGAGCAUUGCAUAUUUGAUCAUAUUGACCAUUAAAGCCAUCUUUUCUCUCCCCUUCUAUAAUCACCCGACGUUGGGGAAACAAUUUGCACAUCUGCUUUACAAUGACUGAUUGCUUAUGAAGUAGUUCAGAGGUUAUUGCCAUAUGCCCUAAACUCUGAGUGCAAAUAAGGUUUGGAAAGAACUUCUCCAGUUGUUCCACUCGGUUUUUUUGUAACGCACUGUCAGCUGAUUCAAGCACCCCAUAUUUGACAUUCAAAUCAUGAGAUAUGCUCUCAAUCUUAGCCUUCCCUUGAAUGAGUUGUUCCUUGUUAUGACGGAGCUUCUCCCUCAAACUUGCAAGCUUCUCAUUCUGAAUCACUCUCCAAUUUAGUUGAUCAUCCGCCUUCCCCUUCGCCACAAGAACUUCGCUUAACCUUGAAUACAGCAAAUGCCGACGACUCUUCAAUGAUUUGAGCAAGCUAUUGUACUCAUUUAAUCUGUGAUUGAUACAAUCAGCACAAAUAGAUGCGCGAUUUGAAUUCUCACAAAUGGCACAACAAUUGGAUUUCUUGUUCAUACUUUACUUUUACAUCAAUUAAACCACCCUUCUUUGCAACUCAACCCACCCAGCAAAUAAAAAGGAGAAAACUGCGCAAUCGACGGUCUAACCGUCAGCGGGCAGUCAUAGCCGGAGGGAUUUGUGAAAUUUUGUUGAAUUCUUGAGCUGUUGAAUUUGAAAUUUUGGGAGUUUCAGUUGAGCAGAAUCUUUACCAUUGCCGUG